CCUACGGGAGGCAGCAGUGGGGAAUAUUGGUCAAUGGGGGAUACCCUGAACCAGCGACGCCGCGUGAGGGAUGACUGACUUAUGUAUUUACAACUUUUUUUGUAUGGAAGAAAAGUACGGUAUGUGACCAACAAGCCCCGGCUAACUACGUGCCAGCAGCCGCGGUAAUACGUAGGGUGCAAGCGUUAUCCGGAUUUACUGGGUGUAAAGGGAGCGUAGUCGGUGUAGUAAGUCAGAUGUGAAAGGUUGGGGCGCAACCCCAGAACUGCAUUUGAAACUGUUAAACUUGAGUACAGGAGAGGUAAGCGGAAUUGCUGGUGUAGCGGUGAAAUGCGUAGAUAUCAGGAGGAACACCAAUGGCGAAGGCGGCUUACUGGACUGUAACUGACGUUGAGGCUCGAAAGCGUGGGGAGCAAACAGGAUUAGAUACCCCUGUAGUC
rnacentral:rRNA from 1 species